AAUUAUACCGCGAAACUGCGAAUGGCUCAUUAUAUAAGUUAUCGUUUAUUUGAUAAUACUUUACUACUUGGAUAACCGUGGUAAUUCUAGAGCUAAUACAUGCUGAAAAUCCCGACUUCGGAAGGGAUGUAUUUAUUAAAUUAAAAACCAAUGCCCCUCGGGGCUCUCUGGUGAAUCAUGAUAACUAGUCGAAUCGACAGGCCUUGUGCCGGCGAUGGCUCAUUCAAAUUUCUUCCCUAUCAACUUUCGAUGUUUGGGUAUUGGCCAAACAUGGUGGCAACGGGUAACGGAGGGUUAGGGCUCGACCCCGGAGAAGGAGCCUGAGAAACGGCUACUACAUCCAAGGAAGGCAGCAGGCGCGCAAAUUACCCAAUCCCGACACGGGGAGGUAGUGACAAUAAAUACUGAUACAGGGCUCUUUUGGGUCUUGUAAUCGGAAUGAGUACAAUUUAAAUCCCAUGUAACGAGGAACAAUUGGAGGGCAAGUCUGGUGCCAGCAGCCGCGGUAAUUCCAGCUCCAAUAGCGUAUAUUAAAGUUGUUGUGGUUAAAAAGCUCGUA
rnacentral:rRNA from 1 species